CAUUCGAACAAAUUGUAAAAACAAUAGAUUAUAAUGAUUAUACCUAUAAAGACAUAGAUACAGAAGAAAAUUUAGAAAUAGUAAAUGAUAGAAUAAGUACAACGAAAAGAAUAGCUAAUGAAAAACCAGAAUCAUCAAGCUCAUAAAAAAGAACAAGUUAUGAAACAAAUUCAAUAAGUAAUUUAAACCAAUAUUACAUAACAGGAAAAAUAAAUGAAAAAGAAUACCUAAUACUUUUAAAUACAGGACAAGAAGAAAAUUAUAUAGCAAAAUAUCUAGUAAAAAAUGAAGAAAUAAA
rnacentral:lncRNA from 1 species